rnacentral:sRNA from 1 species
AUGUAUCCCGUACACGCCGGUUCCGCCGCCGCCCGCAGCCACCUGACGACUGCUCGCCACGUGUUGUUAGCA